AGAGUUUGAUCCUGGCUCAGAAUGAACGCUGGCGGCGUGCUUAACACAUGCAAGUCGAACGGUAACAGAGGAGCUUGCUCCUGCUGACGAGUGGCGCACGGGUGAGUAAUGCAUAGGUAACGUGCCCCUUAGUCUGGGAUAGCCACUGGAAACGGUGAUUAAUACUGGAUACUCCUUCUUCCUUAAUGGAAGUUGGGAAAUUUUUUAGCUAAGGGAUCGGCCUAUGUUGUAUCAGGUAGUUGGUGAGGUAAUGGCUCACCAAGCCUAUGACACAUAGCGGGUCUGAGAGGAUGAUCCGCCACACUGGUACUGAGACACGGACCAGACUCCUACGGGAGGCAGCAGUGGGGAAUAUUGCACAAUGGACGAAAGUCUGAUGCAGCAACGCCGCGUGGAGGAUGACACAUUUCGGUGCGUAAACUCCUUUUAUAUGAGAAGAUAAUGACGGUAUCAUAUGAAUAAGCACCGGCUAACUCCGUGCCAGCAGCCGCGGUAAUACGGAGGGUGCAAGCGUUAUUCGGAAUCACUGGGCGUAAAGGGUGCGUAGGCGGUUUGAUAAGUCUGAUGUGAAAUCCUAUGGCUCAACCAUAGAACUGCAUUGGAAACUGUCAGACUAGAAUACUGAAGGGGCAGAUGGAAUUAGUGGUGUAGGGGUAAAAUCCGUAGAUAUCACUAGGAAUACCGAAAGCGAAAGCGAUCUGCUGGGAAGUUAUUGACGCUGAGGCACGAAAGCGUGGGAGCAAACGGGAUUAGAUACCCCGGUAGUCCACGCCCUAAACGAUGAAUGCUAGUCGUCGGAAAGCUCGUCUUUUCGGUGAUGCAGUUAACACAUUAAGCAUUCCGCCUGGGGAGUACGGUCGCAAGAUUAAAACUCAAAGGAAUAGACGGGGACCCGCACAAGUGGUGGAGCAUGUGGUUUAAUUCGAAGAUACGCGAAGAACCUUACCAAGCCUUGACAUUGAUUGAAUUCACCAGAGAUGGAGAAGUGCCUUUCGAGGAACAUGAAAACAGGUGCUGCACGGCUGUCGUCAGCUCGUGUCGUGAGAUGUUGGGUUAAGUCCCGCAACGAGCGCAACCCUCGCCACUAGUUGCCAGCAGGUUUGGCUGGGCACUCUAGUGGGACUGCCCGUGGCAAGCGGGAGGAAGGUGGGGAUGACGUCAAGUCCUCAUGGCCCUUACGGGCAGGGCUACACACGUGCUACAAUGGCGGCGACAGAGGGUUAAUCCCCAAAAGCCGUCUCAGUUCGGAUUGUCUUCUGCAACUCGAAGGCAUGAAGUUGGAAUCGCUAGUAAUCGUGGAUCAGCAUGCCACGGUGGAUACGUUCCCGGGCCUUGUACACACCGCCCGUCACACCAUGGGAGUUGGUUCUACCUGAAGGCGUUGCGCUAACCAGUUUACUGGAGGCAGGCGACCACGGUAGGGUCAGCGACUGGGGUGAAGUCGUAACAAGGUAACC
rnacentral:rRNA from 1 species